rnacentral:rRNA from 1 species
AGUUUGAUCCUGGCUCAGGAUGAACGACUAGCGGCAGGCUUAACACAUGCAAGUCGAGGGUAGUUGGUUUCGGUACCAAGAGACCGGCGCACGGUGCGUAACGCGUAUGCAAUCUACCUUUACAGGGGAAUAGCCAGAGAAAUUUGGAUUAAUGCCCAUGGUAUAAUCGGAUGGCAUCAUUUGAUUAUUAAAGUUCCAACGGUAAAAGAUGGGCAUGCGUCCUAUUAGCUAGAUGGUAAGGUAACGGCUUACCAUGGCUACGAUAGGUAGGGGUCCUGAGAGGGAGAUCCCCCACACUGGUACUGAGACACGGACCAGACUCCUACGGGAGGCAGCAGUGAGGAAUAUUGGUCAAUGGACGCAAGUCUGAACCAGCCAUGCCGCGUGCAGGAUGAUGGUCCUAUGGAUUGUAAACUGCUUUUGUACGAGAAGAAACAACAUUACGUGUAAUGUCUUGACGGUAUCGUAAGAAUAAGGAUCGGCUAACUCCGUG